rnacentral:lncRNA from 1 species
AAUGAUUGACAUGAGUCAAACAAGGCAGAGACCAAACUUAACUCAUGACUUGACAAUUACAAAGGUUAAACUCAGAUUCAUAUGACAAAUCAAACAAACAACAUGACUAAGACAUUACAGAAAUGGAUUUAGAAAAUAAAAUGACUCAGCAAAUGAUUCACCGAAUAAAGAUAAGAAUAAGACUCAAAUCAAAAAAACAAAGGCACAGAACAACUCAACAUAUCACGAAGAGAUUGAACAACAACUUAAAUAAGAGAAAACGAUUCAAGACAUUAAACGAAAUGAUGAACAACGCGGAAAUGGAAAGAAACACAACAAAAUACUCAGAAUCAUACCAAGACAAAAUAAGAUGAACUCAAAACAGACAAUACCGAAUCAAAACAGAAAACUAACAACAGAUUCAGAGACAAAAACGCGAAUCAACACAGAAACAAGAAUCAAGACAAAACAGAAAUGCAACAGAUAUACUUAUCUUUUCUAGCAUGGAUGAACCGAAGCUCUGACUACCACUUAAUGGAAGACGUCUUGAGGAAGAUGACCGAUUGCACGACACGAGUUCCUCAGAGCUUCUCCGACGAAGAAAUGACGCAGCGGAAUGUAAGGAAAUCGAGAAUGACUCACAGAAACCCUAGAAGAAAGGGAAAACUCGAUUUGGACCGAUUAAACGGUGGGAAUCGAAGUUUAAUCGGCGGAAAAGUUUUGGAUCGGUUCAAAAGAGGUUUCAGUUGACGGAGAUUGAAAAACGAUCGGUGAAAAUGAUUUUGAACGGUGAAAUAGGGUUUUUGUUCGGUGGAAAGGAUGAACUGAGGAGAAGGAACACAUAUCUGACAAGAGGAAAUAGAGUAGAGGCUUACCGAGAUGAACAAUGGUGGACGGCGACGAGGAGCUCGAGAGAUAGGACACAAAAUGACUUGGUGUUUCUGAUGUGCGAAUGGAGGGUGAAGUGCGAGAAUGAAAAUGAUGUGGCUGAUGACACUGACGCGUGCCUUAGGUGUAGUUAGGCCACUGGUCUGAUGCAGAGUAAUGGUGGUGAUGUACGCUGACGAUGAGAGAGAAAGCACAAUGGUAAAAAUGGAAAAUGGAAGAAUGAGGUAGUGUGCUNGAAGGUGGCUAGAGGGAGUCUUUGGACUCUCUAGCCUAUGACUUUCAAGAGAGAAUGGUUUCUAUUUUAGAAAUCUCAAUUCUCAUUAAUCUCAAAAAGUGAAUAGUACAAGUGAGGAGUUGGGUAUUUAUAGUGACCCAUGCUCCUUACAAACUACACUACAGAUACAAUAAAAUGUAAAAAGAGGACUACAUGAGACAGGAUUCCAUCAUAGCAUGUGGAAAACUUGAUAUUGAUGGUAUGGAAAUGAUAACUUGAAAUCAUUUUAUGAAUGGUUUGGUGAUUUAAUAUAUUUGACGGUUGGGUGUAAGUAGGGGUUGAUUUCUCUUAUUACAGUUGUGGUAUCUAUUUGAUUGAUUUGAUUAGGAGGUGUGUUGUAUGUGGUUAGUGAAGGGAAUUAACCUUCUAUCUACUUUCUAUAUUGUGAUGGUAUGAGCAUGAUGUAUCCAUGAUGAAUAUGUGACUAUGCUUGGUUAAAAUGGUCAAUUAUGAAUGUGGGAAGAGUUGGGAAUAAGAUUAGUAAGAUGAUUGACCUUGGGUUUUGUCUAUAUCAUGUAUGAUGGAUGCUAAAUAUGAUAGAUUGUGAGUAUGUUGAAUUAUGAACAUGGUGAACUUGAGUAUGUUGAUACUGGGUUGGAGAAGAAGUUGGGUAUAAUGUUGAAAAGGAUGUUAAUCUUAGGUGUUUUUGUUUAAGUUUUGAUUAUAAAAAUAUAAAGAAUCUUUGGAGAAAUUAAUUGAUGAAAAGGAGAUCUUUGAGAUGGUUUGUAUGUUGUUAUGAGGAAACACCUUUAAUUAACAUGUGAUUACUUGAAAGGUGUUUUUUGGAAGUAAAUGAAUAUGAGAUUUAUGAUGUUGGAUCAUUUUUUUUAAAGUUGUUGGAAUAAUCGAUUUCUAGAAAUGAUAAUCGAUU